GUUACAGCCACAAUAUGAUGUCAUCUUUUGCUCGUUAAUUCAGACGGAGAUAAAAAAAAAUCGGCAUCCUUUUCAAACGAAACAACUGCCUUGCAAUUUAUUUCCAUAAAAAAAGUCCGAGAAUUUGAGGAUUUGGAUAUCAUUAUUACCUCUGGCUCAGUGCGUUGAAAAUUCGCUAUGGUUUCAUGAGGAAUUAGUGCGCCCGAUCUCGUGAAGUCGUCAUCUAUCAGCCAAGAUCAUUCAUUUUUUUUUUCCCUUUCUCCCGACGGGUUGUUUGAUGGAUCAGUAAGGCGAGUUAAUCUUGAAAAAGAUCAGAAGAAAAUCCGCAGCUGUCCGACUCAAAUCAAUGGGUUUUUUCCUGCAAACUCUCAGAAUUUCAAAUUUUGACAUAUUUAGAUUUUCAGAAGUUUAACGGGGCUCAAGUUCACGGGAUUGCUCCAUUUCGGAUCAACUGGGUUUGCUUAAUUUAUAUGCUUAAUUUAUAUCCUGAAGAGGAAUCAACUUUUAUUAAGAAAAUGCUAGAAGCUGAGGUGUGUUCUUCUCGGGUUCUGUCACCUUGUCGUGAGGAGAGUGGUGAUGAGGAGCUCUCUGUUCUUCCCCGGCACACCAAAGUCAUUGUUACGGGAAACAACCGAACCAAGUCUGUCUUGGUGGGUCUGCAAGGGGUUGUUAAGAAGGCUGUUGGCCUUGGUGGCUGGCACUGGCUGGUUCUGAAGAAUGGAGUGGAAGUUAAGCUACAAAGGAAUGCUUUAAGUGUGCUAGAACCACCCACAGGAAACGAAGAAGAUGAUGAUGAUCAUGAUUUAGAUAAUUCUUGCAGUAGCUCAGACAUGGGUGAGAAGGAGAAUUAUUUCUCAAGUAGCAUUCAGUUACACAAGUCAAGCAAGCCAAGAGUAAGGCAUACGAGACCCUGGAUAUCUGCCAAGUCAAUUAAUAGAAGCCAUUGCAGAGAAAUACAAUCCAAUAUUCACAAACCUCAACUGUUUGUUUUGGAUCAUCAGAGGGUGAACUUGGCGAAGCUAGGAACGAAUUCAUUGUGGAGAUAUUGGAAACGAUUCAAUCUUGCGAGGAACAAUCUUCCACAUCCUUCGAGGGAGCAAUUGGUGGAUGCUGUAAGGCGACACUUCUCAUCACAGUUCUCUCAAUUGGACGAGAUUGAAGUGAUCGUGGGAUUCAUUCAUGCUGCCAAGAAAUUGAGAGCCAUGGAGUCAUAGGUUUGGUGUCUAUGCGGAUGACAGGAAGAGAAUUUAUGGGAUAUCCCUCUGCUUGUAUAAUACAUAUUAUUAUCAGUCUAACCUUAAGUACAUUCGACUUGGCCCUUGUGAGUACUGAUGGGCCAAAUCCAGAUUCUGAUGUUCUAAUAUAUAUGUUAUCUUUACCUUCCUAACCAUGUAGUUUGGCCAAGGUGGACCUGUUGAUUUAUGCUGAAAUUAGCAUCUGGAGACGUUAAUUCGCAGUGCUGUAAACAAUCAGGUCAGUCAGGAGUUGCAGCUUUGAUACAAGGAAGGGUUCUGGAAGAUGUGAAAUUUUGAAUUAACGCUUCUGAAGCGUCUGCAAUAAUGGGACCUCGCCAGGCUGUCGUUUGAUGUCACGGGUAUAUGAAUGGGGCAUAGCCAGAUUUGUGAUUGCGACGGGUCAGCGGCAAAGAGUGCACGAAAGUCACCACAGGAAUCUCUCUCUCUCUCUAAAAGAAUAGGGUGAUUGCCAAAAAAAAGAUUGCCAUGUUCUUCUCGUUGUUGGUUAAUUGUCCUUUGGGGAAACGCAGCUUUACUACUAUAUAUUAUUAGUUUAUUACCAUUACUUUUAAAAGGGCCAAUCGAUUGUCGCGUGGUGCUGGCAGAAUAUACAAAAUAAAGGAGGUAGGAUCAGAACAACAUGGCGUGCUUUGCUUGCAGAUGAUGUGCUAACGCCAACCCCAAGGGUCGCAUGUGGUGGCCAAUCUACAAUUUUCACUUUUUUGAUUGUGCCAGCCACGCGUGCUUUCUUUUUAUCAGCGGGAUCAGGGUAGGGAUGGAAAUGGAUACUCAAAAUAUGAAUCUGCAUUCUGCAAUCCUAAACAUGUAUUUGUUUAGGGAUACGCAUUUGUAUUUCUUUAGGGUAUUCGUAUCUAGUUAAAAGGUAUAAGGAAUAAAAUUUCAAUUAUUUGGAAUA